ensembl:lncRNA
CUCGUCCUCAUCCUCAUCCUCAUCCUCAUCCUCAUCACUGUGUUCAUCCUCAUCCUCCUCGUUACCCUCAGCCUUGGACUCUUCCUCAUCCUCAUCCUCAUCCUCAUCAUUGUCGUCUUCAUCCUCAUCCUCCUUGUUAACUGUCAUCCUCAUCCUCAUCCUCAUCAUUGUCUUCAUCCUCAUCCUCCUCGUUACCCUCAGCCUCAGACUCUUCUUCAUCCUCAUCCUUAUCGCCAUCCUCAUCCUCCUUACCCUCAGCCUUGGACUCUUCCUCAUCCUCAUCCUCAUCAUUGUCUUCAUCUUCAUCCUCCUUGGCCUCAGCCUUGGACUCAUCCUCAUCCUCAUCCUCAUCCUCAUCACUGUCUUCAUCCUCGUCCUCCUUGUUACCCUCAGCCUCGGACUCUUCCUCAUCCUCCUUGUUACCCUCAGCCUCGGACUCUUCCUCAUCCUCCUUGUUACCCUCAGCCUCGGACUCUUCCUCAUCCUCAUCCUCAUCAUUGUCUUCAUCUUCAUCCUCCUUGGCCUCAGCCUUGGACUCUUCCUCACCCUCAUCCUCCUUGUUACCCUCAGCCUCGGACUCUUCUUCAUCCUCAUCCUCAUCCUUGUCUUCAUCCUUGUCCUUAUCUCCAUCCUCAUCCUCCUCGUUGCCGUCACCCUCAGACUCUUCUUCAUCCUCAUCCUCAUCAUUGUCUUCAUCUUCAUCCUUAUCUCCAUUCUCAUCUCCAUCCUCAUCCUCGUUACCCUCAGCCUCAGACUCUUCUUCAUCCUCAUCAUUGUCAUCAUUAUCUUUAACCUCAUCUUCAUCUUCAUCCUCAUCCUCGUUAUCUUUAACCUCAUCUUCAUCUUCAUCCUCAUCCUCGUUAUCUUUAACCUCAUCUUCAUCUUCAUCCUCACCCUCCUCCUCCUCCUCACCCUCCUGUUUCUGCCGCCUCGCUGUGAGAAUUUCGGGAGCUCUGCUCGUGCUGGGAGCACCCAAACCCCAAAUCCCAAAUCCUGAACCCCAAAUCCUGAACCCCAAAUCCCAAAUCCUGAACCCCAAAUCCCAAAUCCUGAACCCCAAACCCCAAAUCCUGAACCCCAAAUCCUGAAUCCCAAAUCCCAAAUCCUGAACCCCAAACCCUGAACCCCAAAUCCCAAAUCCUGAACCCCAAACCCUGAACCCCAAAUCCNNNNNNNNNNAACCCCAAAUCCCAAACCCCAAAUCCCAAAUCCUGAACCCCAAACCCCAAAUCCCAAACCCCAAAUCCCAAAAACCCCAAAUCCCAAACCCCAAUCCUGAACCCCAAAUCCCAAAUCCCAGCUCCUUUUCCCCUGAAAUGUCAUUUUUUCCCCCUAGAAAUGUCCCUUUUUUUUCCCCACUUUUCCCCAAAAAUGUAGAUUUUUUCCCCCCUAAAAUAUCACUUUUUUCUCGUGCUUUUCACCUAAAAUGUCCCUUUUUCCCCCCAUUUUUCCCCCCUAAAAUCUAUAUUUUCCCCUAAGAAAUUUAAUUUUCCCAAAAGCUCCCGUUUUUGCCCCAUUUGCAGGCCCCAAGGCGUGGCCAGGGGCUGCUCCCGGAGCCCGACCGCGCUGCAGCUCCUGGGCGGGGCUGCGGCCACUUUGCCCCUAAAAUGUCAUUUUUUUGCCCCUAAAAUGUCACUUUUUUCCCCUAAAAUGUCACUUUUUU